rnacentral:rRNA from 1 species
UACGAAGGGGCUAGCGUUGCUCGGAAUCACUGGGCGUAAAGGGCGCGUAGGCGGAUCUUUAAGUCGGGGGUGAAAGCCCAGGGCUCAACCCUGGAAUUGCCUUCGAUACUGGAGAUCUUGAGACCGGAAGAGGUAAGUGGAACUGCGAGUGUAGAGGUGAAAUUCGUAGAUAUUCGCAAGAACACCAGUGGCGAAGGCGGCUUACUGGUCCGGUUCUGACGCUGAGGCGCG